GCAGCUGAGAAGCAGAGGCUGGCUUGAUGUGCGGCUGUGGGGUGAGAUGAGCGAUACUCCUUGGUCGGCCUGGCUCAUCUUACUCGUCAUUUCCUGCAGGAGAACAGCUUGAGUGGCUCUCUGCAAUAUGUCACCUAGAAGCAGGAAGCCAUUCCGAACCCACGUGUUCCCAGCACUGAGUCAUCUCUAAAUGUCCUGAGCUUUCCAAUGACCUUGCUGACAGAGCAAGUCAAAGUCAGGAAGCAGGACUUGUGUUCUCCACAGGACGUACCUGGGAAAUACCGAUUUCUACCACACCACUUUGCCAUCGAGCUCUUGGUAGGACGUUGUCUUGGUUGUGUGUGAUGUCAAAGGGAGCUCAGCGAAGAAGAAAGAAUGAAGAGUCUGACCAGGAUGAGAAUCAUCAUGUAUACUGGCAUUGGGGAACCUUGGCUGUGACCUGGAUCCCUUUAGACAAGGUCUAGAUCCAGCCCCUAAAAGAGCUGUAGGGUCAUUUGGAAGACAGGAGAAUUCUAAUCAAGUAAGAACUCAUCACUCACUCAUCAAUAAAUUGGAAAGGCCUGGAAACAAAAGCACCACAGGAGCGAUGAGUUCACUUGGUGCGCAGGUCAUGCUGUCUGCAUUCCUUCUUUGGAGAAAUGCCUGAUUACAGUCCUGGGAAUGCAGGGCACAGGUUCACGUAUGUGCCUAUGGGACAUCUUAAACCAGGAGAAAAACCUUUGUAUUUCUGGGGACAAAAACUUCACAAACCUGGCACUCACAUAGGCCUAGCAAUAUUCUGGCCCAAAGAAGACCCUCCAAAACAUUUGUUAAGCAGAUGAAGAAAUGAGUUAAUGAACGAGCAUCUCAGAGCCUCGUGAGGACAAAGCAGAGCAGUCAAGAAUGUCCCAAAUGGGGGAAGCUUCUCCCAGGCAGUCAUCUGCGGACCAGGCUCCCCGGCCUCAGCUGUUCAUGCUCCUGUGCACACGCUCCCUGGGCCACAUGCCUGCACCAAGCUUCCUUUUGCCGUCUCAAAACUACUCUUGGCAAAGCAUGGCCUGGAGAACUUUCAUGAACCUUUGGUAAGGAAAAGGUUCUUUGUGGAAAUUGAGAAGUCCAGGCUGCGGCAGAGUAUGAGCAGCAGAUGGGUCUCAGUUUGGGGCAGUGAAUAAUUGCCCCGUCGGAGCGCCUUCUCAUGCCGGAAGGAAUAUGCCGCAUGAUGCGAGGGACCACGUUUCCUAUUUUACUUUGAUUUUACUUUCAGUGGAGUGGAGUUAAUGAAGUAUAGUCUAAACGGCAAAGAGGGGCUCUGGUCCCCGGAAACCCACGUUAAAACCGGAAGACAUCACAGAGGUUCCAGCGCUUUCACGAAGGGACCAGCCGGCUCGUCUGUCCGUAAAGCUGUGUUGGGUCAACGCCACAAGGGUCAUUGCUCCUGUGUCCCUGCUUCCGCCCUGCGGCGUGGGGGUGAGCGGCGGGGACAGAGACCGCGGGAGCUUUGUGGGCGGCGAGGGGGCCCCGCAGACGAAGCGGCCGCCCUGGUCAGUGGCCUUCUUUGCCACCCACCGUCCCGCCCAAGGCCCCAGAUACUUACAACGUUUUUCUUCAAAAGCCUAAAGGAAAAUGACCGAGCUGGCCUCUGUUUGGGGGCCGCGGGGCGUUCCCGGGCGUGACGUGGAGCCCUGGCCCUGCUGGCGGGGCCCGAACCUCCAGGUGGUGGAACCCGAGGCCUGGAAGGGUGGCCCGGGAAGAGAGCGGGGCAGGAAACGCGCCCCAGAGACGAGCCCAGCGCCAGGGCAGGGCAGCUGGAAGCGGG
rnacentral:lncRNA from 1 species